GACGAACGCUGGCGGCGUGCUUAACACAUGCAAGUCGAACGGAAAGGCCCUGCUUUUGUGGGGUGCUCGAGUGGCGAACGGGUGAGUAACACGUGGGUAACCUGCCCUUGACUUUGGGAUAACUUCAGGAAACUGGGGCUAAUACCGGAUAGGAGCUCCUGCUGCAUGGUGGGGGCUGGAAAGUUUCGGCGGUUGGGGAUGGACUUGCGGCUUAUCAGCUUGUUGGUGGGGUAGUGGCUUACCAAGGCUUUGACGGGUAGCCGGCCUGAGUGGGUGACCGGCCACAUUGGGACUGAGAUACGGCCCAGACUCCUACGGGAGGCAGCAGUGGGGAAUAUUGCACAAUGGGCGGAAGCCUGAUGCAGCAACGCCGCGUGCGGGAUGACGGCCUUCGGGUUGUAAACCGCUUUCGCCUGUGACGAAGCGUGAGUGACGGUAAUGGGUAAAGAAGCACCGGCUAACUACGUG
rnacentral:rRNA from 1 species